rnacentral:rRNA from 1 species
GAUGAACGCUGGCGGCGUGCCUAAUACACGCAAGUCGAGCGAACAGACGAGGAGCUUGCUCCUCUGACGUUAGCGGCGGACGGGUGAGUAACACGUGGAUAACCUACCUCUAAGACUUGGAUAACUUCGGGAAACCGGAGCUAAUACCGGAUAAUAUAUUGAACCGCAUGGUUCAAUAGUGAAAGACGGUUUUGCUGUCACUUAUAGAUGGAUCCGCGCCGCAUUAGCUAGUUGGUAAGGUAACGGCUUACCAAGGCAACGAUGCGUAUCCGACCUGAGAGGGUGAACGGGCACACUUGAACUGAGACACGGUCCAGACUUCUAAGGGGAGGAGCAGGAGGGGAUCUUCCGCAAUGGGCGAAAACCUGACGGAGCAAAGACGGGGGAGGGAAGGAGGUCUUCGGAGCGGAAAACUCUGUUAGUAGGGAAGAACAAAUGUGUAAGUAACUAUGCACGGCUUGACGGUACCUAAUCAGAAAGCCACGGCUAACUACGUG